UCUCUCUCUCUCUCUCUCUCUCUCUCACGUCCACUUUGAGUUUGACCCGUUGCCAGCCACCGGCAACUCUCUACUCCAAUGGAGACCCCACCCACUCUCUAGAGGAUCUUCUCAGUGGAAACAUUUGUUGAGUCUUCUUUUUCUACAGCAGAAAGCUUAAAUAAGCUACCCUUUUCUUUCAUCUAUCUUUUUCUUUCUCCAAAAACCCUAAUCCAAGCCAUACACUGCUGGCUCUAGAGGAAGAAGAAGAAGAAGAAGGAGAAGCGAAGAGAGAGAGAGAGAGAGGUGGGGGGCCUCACAUCUCACAUAUGCCAUUAGCCUUUUACAGUUCAACCUCCUUUUGUUUUUGGUUUGCUGCUGCUUUCCUCUCUAGCCAUCGUAAUCGACAUCUGUGCCCAAAUUUUCUUUUCUUUUCACAGAAACUU
rnacentral:misc_RNA from 1 species